rnacentral:rRNA from 1 species
CCCUUAGAUGUUCUGGGCCGCACGCGUGCUACACUGAGUGGAUCAGCGGGUCAGGUUGCGCGAAAGCGUUUCCUAAUCUUUAAAUCCGCUCGUGAUGGGGAUUGACGGUUGCAAUUUUCUGUCAUGAACGAGGAAUACCUUGUAAGCGCGGGUCAUCAUCCCGCGCUGAAUACGUCCCUGCCCUUUGUACACACCGCCCGUCGCUCCUACCGGUUGAGUGGUCCGGUGAGGCUUUGGGAUCUGAGCGGAAAGAGCGUUUCGCUGUUUCUGCUCGGAAAACUCAGCCGAACCUCAUCAUUUAGAGGAAGGAGAAGUCGUAACA